rnacentral:lncRNA from 1 species
UGUGCAUCGUAUGCACUUUCGCUGUGACUUGCUUCAUGCGCCUGCGGCCAACCUGUUGGAGAGCUUUUAGCAUGAUGGAGACCUACUGGCGCCCUGGCAGUUCCCUGGAACGUGAGGUCGCGGAUGGCCCUAGACACCAUCCGCAACCGGCGCCUGAUCCAGUGCGACCAGUGCGGCUACCGGUGCAGUAGCCGGAGCUACAUGCGCAUCCACGCCCGGGUGCACACGGGAGAGCGCCCCUUCCGCUGCAACAUCUGCCCGAGCGCCUUCACCGACCCCAGCAACCUCAACCGGCACAAGCGUUGCCACACGGGUGAGCGGCCGUUUGUGUGCCGCCACUGCAAGCAGCACUUCACCCAGAGCAGCAGCCUGCGGACUCAUAUGCUAUAUCAACACGGGCACAUAGAGUGACCGCCCUUGCUUCGGAUGCCCACCAUUCCGGGGGGCCCUUUAAGAAGGCGAACCAUUGCGCCACGUGUCAAUGCAACAUACCGGAUGUUGCCUUUACUUCCGACGAGACGGUGCCUACCUCAGAGACAUCAGUAGCACAACUGGAAUGCGUCGGCGCUGCCUUUACAGUAGAAUCCCGCUGAUACAUCCUGUUUAUGGUGUUUUCGUAGCUGCUACACCAUGUUUUUGUUGUCUAAGCACAAUGCCUGUGUGCUGCUAGCUUCCCUGAACUUUGAAGUUUUUUUAGCACUUAUUGUUUUCUUCUUACGGUUUUGUAAAAGCCUUACCACCAGUGUUCUACUGUAGUGUCCCGUGAUAACAAUGCUGCAGUACUGGGCUUUUGGACUGCAAAGCCUGUGUUUCCUGGAGUCUUCCUUCAAGACUGGUUCUUUACAACUAGUGGCAUUCGGCCCGAUACCACCAACUAUAUGCACUUCAGUCACUAUUCCUGCUUUUUUUUUUCUUCUUUGCUACAGUAUAUUUUGUUAACACUGUUCUAUGCACAAGAAAAGGUGCAAGCUGUGUUAAAGUAUGCGUUGUUCUUGCCGAGUCGAGCUAGUUCGGACCAUGUAUGCCGAUACCGUUAGCUGAUGAACCCUACAGCUGAUGACAUGUCCUGCAUCUAUCCAUCGUGGCAUGCAGAGUGAAGUGAAGUAAGCAUAUGGCUGACAACUGUAAUCCGGGGGGCACGGGGGGAGGAAUUGGCUUGCUCUACCUUUAAAUUUCACAACAUGUCAAAUUUAAGGAGUACUGGUAUACACAUUUUCAAAGUUGUAGAAAGCUGUAUUGCACUCUUCUUGCUCACAAAAGGAAGGCACUCAGCUAGUGUGAAGUUUGGGAGAUAUGGGAUAUUUUAAUUUUAUGCUGAAAUCUGUCUCAAAAUGCCACAACUGGCAUCAUCGACAUUAUUCCAAUGUCGUGACGCGGAGCAAGACAAUUGCUCGUGGUAUGUGGCAGUAAGGCACAAAUAAAAGAAGUAUAAAUAACGAUAUAUAACGAAUACGAAAACGACGCACAAGAUAAGUGAGAGCAGCACUUAUUGAGCACCACACGUGAGCUCUUGGCAGUGCUCACGUGGUGGCUGCAGCAAUCGCAGGAGGUGUGUUGCGAUAUAACGAUGCAUUCACUCUGUGUACUCAAAAUGAAGCUGACUUGUAGAAACAUGCGUCAUGGUAAAUUAUUUAGCCUGCAGUUUUAUAGGUUUCAUAGGGCUCAGACCUUCAUUUAAUGAACAUACAAAAAAAGUGACAUUGAAUAUGUCGCAUUAGUAAUCCUUUAAGAUAAGGCAGAGUACAGUUAAAAAGAGCAAGACAGAGCAAGCAUAUAGCAGACUUUGUCUACUGCCGUUAUAAAAUGAAAGCAUUACAUCUGUACAAGCUAAAUUUGUUCUAUGCAUAAAGGAAUCGAAAAGGAAUGGGAAAAGUGGCUGCCUCGAAUUGGCUUGAAACUGCACUGUUGCUUGCAUCGCUUCAUUCAUUCACGCCUUAAUUCACUGAAUCUUGAUUAUUUAUUCACAUUGUGCACCAGCUACAGUGUCGCCUUCGUCUGGAAUACUGAUUUGCAUUGUUAACAAGACUGCAUAAUUAUGCAUUCGUUCCCCAUAAGAACCAUGUGUAAUGUGAUGUGUGCAUGGUGCAUUUGAUGCAAAGCAAGCGAUGAACAGCUCUCCAGGCUGCAUUGUGUUUUGGCACCUGCUGUGUUUAGCCACAACUUUGUUACAGCCACACUGUUACAGGGUCAAGCAUGUCAAAAUUCUUCCCACCUAGACCUAAGGUGCCACAGGGUCAAAGACUCCUGUGGUAUCUAUCAAAGUUUGUACCCUUUUCUUUUACCAACAGGACUUUUGAGAACUGCUGAAAACUAGAAUUCUUACGACUCUGAGUAUGCAAAAAUAAAAGCAAUGCAAAGAUAGUACAAUCUUUGUGAUGCUAUAGAA